GUAGGGGAGGGCGAGGUCGCCGGUGGAAAUCCCUCUCAUGAUACCUCCCCUUUCGCCUUUAAAGUAGUGGAGAAACAAGGAGAGGCUCGCGAUUACAGUAGAGUGAUUGUUGUCGAUCUGGUCCUGUUCUUCCGGCUAACAGCAUGGGCAGUGCUUUUUGAUAAAAGACGGGUUUAUUAACUCAAAAUAUAGCAUCAAGCAUAUACAACACAUCAUGAGCCACAUCUGCCUCUACUUAAUUAGGAUGCACACAGCCAAAAGAAACAAGUCCAAUUAUAAAAUAGUAAGUCGACAUAAUGGUAUCAGCAAAACCAGACAAGACCGGCCAUAUUCCUACACUGAAGGAUGAGGUGGACCGAGCGCCAGUGCGUACAUGGGCAACGUAUGUGAAUGUUUGUAGAAGUUGAUUUCACGGAUCGUAGGUUGACUGUCAUUUCUGGCCAAAGAAAUACCUAAUAUAUUUUGUACAAUCAGCUUGAAUAUUUAGACAUAAUAUCCUCUGUCUAGAACCUAGCUCACAGCUAAAUAUAUUAGUUUGCAUACAACAUAUUAUGUGGUAGUAAAUACAUGCUAGCAGCCCCUUGCGGUGUAUAUUCAUUUUUUUCUUCUAAAUUAUGCUAUUUGCUGAUGAUAUGAUCACGACUAUCCACUAUUCUCCUUCAAAAAUAAUGGGUUACAUGAUGUUCUCGUUAUGCAACUACUCUUAUUGGAUAAAAGCUAUUUAAUUGAUUUAUCUAUUUAUCAAAAUUUUAGGCUUCUAAAAUACUGCUAACUAUUAUUCUGCAAUGGUAUUGUAUGAUAGCCAAAUCUAUUGAUGAUGCCAUGCAGCUUUCACAUAGCUAUGGGUUUCAGCAGAGGGAUUUUGGACAUACUGUUAUUCUUUUUGUUUUAAGCAUUAUCAGAAUAUUGACUGAUUGUAUUUUGGAAGAUUGGGGCACUCCAAGUAUCUCUAAUAAGGAACAUGACAAUAUUUGUGCCAUUGGAGUAAACACGCAUAGGGAUUUAGAUGGCAAGGGGAGUCCGCUUGACAUGAGAGAUAAGCACCGUGAACAACUAUGGAGGAAGAAUAAACUCAUGACUUUAGAAGUUGUUGAGCAGAUCACUGCUAACAAAAAUGCCCAAGUAUUUCUUCGGCUUGUCUAUCUUAACACGUAUGCAGAAGUAUCUUAUUUCUUAAUUUUUUUAUUUUCAUGCAAAUUCUAUCGAUUAGAAGUUUGUAUAUCUCCAACUGCAUACUCCCUACGUAAAAAUAUAAAUUUCAGUGAUUCUUCUCAAUAUAGAUAUGUUUUAGUUGGAAUUUUAGAACUUGUGACCUAAACAAACCUUGGAGUAUAAUUUGACCUUUUUAGCAUGAUAUUAGAUGGUUACUCUAUGCCAAAACAUUUUUUCUUUGAGUUGACUCGGUCUUGCAAUCAUGCUAUGUCGUUUCCAAUCUGACAAAAUUUCAGCUUGCCUGAUGUCAGCAUUAAUUCUACUCCUUCUUUCACAUAUCUUUCUUAAAAUAGGAAAUGUUUUCAUCACAUAUAAGUAGCUUCAUAAGCAAAUGCAAAUCUAUAUGAUCUUUCUUAUGUUUUAGGAUCUAAACACGUAUUAAUAGCCUGUGACGCAUAGUUUUGCUGAAUUUUAACAGACGUAAUGAGUAUGUUGUGGUUUAAUUUAAUAACUUUGCAAAUCCUUUUUAAGGUUUCAGAUUAUUUGGAGAACACUUUUCCAUAUUAUGUAAUUGAUAUUUAAGUGUUUCAUCUAUUUGUGUUUUAUGCUGAUGGAAAACAUUGUUUCCUUUUUGGCUCGGCUAGGGUAGACCUGAAAAUUUCAAAAGUUUGCUUCAGAGAGUUCAACUUACUGUUGCCCUUAAAUCAAAGAAUUUUGCAUCCGCAAAUACUCUGCUAGAUAACUUGAUGAUACAUAUACAGAAGGUUAGAAGCACAUGUUAUCAGUUAGGCAGGAGUAAGCUAUUGAGAGUUAUUGUUAGUACACGACCUUUCAGUUCAACAACAUGCAAUAUGUUUGGAGCUGGAAAGGGCUCUUGUUGGAUUCCUUUUGACUUGUUUAUGGAGAGUGCAAUGGAUGGUAGACAUCUUCGUGCCAUAUCAUCGAUCGAAGCUCUAACAGAACUCUCCAAGAUGCUCCAAGCGAUUACUCGGGCUACCUGGCAAGAGACCUUUCAAGCUUUGUGGAUUUCAGCUUUGCGGCUUAUACAUCGAGACCCAAGCACUCUGGAAGGACCGCUUCCUCAUCUUGAUUCUCGAUUAUGCAUGUUGUUAGCUAUUGUUCCUUUGGCUAUUGCUCCCAUUUUGAAGGAAUAUGCUAACAAUGUCGAGCCGGGAGUGGCCUCUAUUAGAAUAGAAGAAUUAAUGUCUUCUCUACAAGUUCUGGGGCAAUUUUUUGGACUUCUUUCACCCCCUCCAGCAACUGUACAUGCAACA